rnacentral:rRNA from 1 species
UACGGAGAGGGCUAGCGUUGUUCGGAAUUACUGGGCGUAAAGCGCGCGUAGGCGGACCUGCAAGUCGGGGGGUGAAAGCCCGAGGCUCAACCUCGGAACUGCCUUCGAUACUGCGGGUCUCGAGUUCGGGAGAGGUGAGUGGAAUUCCUAGUGUAGAGGUGAAAUUCGUAGAUAUUUAGGAAGAACACCAGUGGCGAAAGGCGGCUCACUGGCCCCGGGUACUGACGCUG